GAUGAAGAACGUAGCGAAAUGCGAUAAGUAGUGUGAAUUGCAGAAUUCAGUGAAUCAUCGAAUCUUUGAACGCACAUUGCGCCCCUUGGUAUUCCAUGGGGCAUGCCUGUUCGAGCGUCAUUUGUACCCUCAAGCUUUGCUUGGUGUUGGGCGUCUUGUCGUAUUACGACUCGCCUUAAAUACAUUGGCAGCCGGCACUUUGGCCUAGGAGCGCAGCACAUUUUGCGAUCGUAGCCCGUUGUACUGGCGUCCAUCAAGAACAUUUACCGCGUUUGACCUCGGAUCAGGUAGGGAUACCCGCUGAACUUAAGCAUAUCAAUAAGCGGAGGA
rnacentral:misc_RNA from 1 species